CUUAACCCUAGGAAGGCGCGGCGUCCAUCACGUGAUUGGUCGCGGUGGGCGGGACGCUAUAUAAGCGAAGCGCGGGCGGUGCCUCGGCCGCAUUUUCAGCUGCUUGAGCCCAGGAAGCUUCUCUUCGACUCCUCCCUACCACCAUUAUGUCUUCUGAAGAAGGAAAGCUGUUUGUUGGGGGUCUGAAUUUUGACACAGAUGAGCAAGGCCUGGAGCAGCAUUUCAGCUCUUUUGGACCCAUUUCUGAAGUUGUUGUGAUCAAGGAUAAGGAGACCCAGAGAUCAAGAGGCUUUGGCUUUAUCACCUUUGCCAAUCCUGAACAUGCAUCAGAUGCCAUGAGAGCCAUGAAUGGAGAGUCUGUAGAUGGGCGCCAGAUAAGAGUUGAUCACGCAGGGAAGUCUUCCCGUGGAUCUAGAGGUGGCUACUUUGGAGGCAGGGGGCGAGGCCGUGGUUAUUCCAGAGGUGGUGGAGACAGAAGCUAUGGUGGGCGAUACGACAACAGAAGUGGAGGCUACAGCGGUUCCCGGGAUUACGGCAGAAGUCAGGGAGGUUAUAACGAUCGCUACUCUUCAGGAGGCUCUUACAGAGACAACUAUGACAACUGAGGUUAGAAGAGAUGAUGGUGGCUAUUCUAGCCUGAAAAAGUGUUGGCCACACUAUCUUGAAAGAAGUGAUGGAAUGGAACAGGGACUACUCUUUGGAUCCUGAACUUGAGCUACGAAGUAAACAGUUUCCCCCACUUCAAAGGUCCCUAUAGCUACUGGGUAUUAAGUGGACAAGAGGAAGAUGCCUCUUGCAGAGACUUGUUCAGCUAUUCAGACAGGUUAAGUGUCAUUACUGGAAUGAACCUAUCAGCUGGCAGCAGUGGAGCAAGUAGAUUACUACGGGCUGUGCAUUCAAUACUGUUGGAAUAUAGGCACUUAUGAGGAGGCUGGCUGGCUAAGAAGUGGAAAGUGCUCAAAAGUGAACUGAAUUUAAAGAAUUGUGGGUGCUCAAUCCUGUGAUACAGCACUUUCUGAAAUGUUUAAUUUAAUUUGUAAAAUGUGAAUGCUAGCUAUAUAUAGUGUGCGUUUUGGGGUAGGCUUGUGCAGCGCUUGAGCUAAAAUCUUUUAAUGAGACCUAUAACUGGAAGAAUGUCUGAAACCUUAACACCAAGUGAUGUAAAAUUUAAAUACUACUUAAAACAACUAUUCAUCAUGUGCUUUGAAUUCCAAAUAUGUUAAACCAUGGCUUCUAAUAAAAAUGAAACAGUAACUGA